CUUCGGUGCAGCUUCGUUCCCCGUCUCAGCGUGCUUCUUCCCCUCCUGCUGCUCCACCUCCUGCUACUGCUACUUCUUCACGUCCUUCUAUGGACAUUUCCGAGGAAGAUAUCUCUGUUUCCUCUGUGUAUCGUGAGCAACAACGUUUAUCUGAGGAGCUUCAGAAAUUGUCUGCGGAGCAGGCUGCGAUACGAAAGGAUGUGAGCAAGAUGAAGCGAUUACUCAAUAUGAUUUUUGACAAGUUAGGGUGUUGCAGAGCAGAUUUACCCCCAGGGGAUGCUUCAGAUUAGAUGUUCCGGGAUUUGCUCCUUUUGUCGUUUUGGCGCUUUCUGACAAAAAGGGGGAGAUGAAUAUAUGAUGAUGGAUGGCUCAAUGAUGAUGAAGCGUUUAGUUUAGUUUUGUGGUGCACUUUGCAUAGUUGUGUAAAUUUAGUUUAGAUGUUUGCUUGUGCUUGACUAUGAACUGACUAUGAACUGACUUGAUACUAUUUUGACGUUUAUGUUUGAUUAUGUUUGAUCUUGAUAAGUAUACUUGAAUCUUGAUUUUCGUUUUAAGAAUGUUUUUGCAGGAAUAAUUCAAGACUUCAAGACUCCAUGUCUAAGUCAUAGAGUCUGUAUUAAGGUUGUAAAAGUGUAAUUUUCAUUUAUUGGAUCGAUCAUGCAGGAGAUUAUCGUUUGGUGAUUGCGAUGAUCUUCUUUUUAUUAUUUAUGAGUUGUGUACGAACUUUGUAAUAUAUUUUGUCACGAAAUCGCCAAAGGGGGAGAUUGUUAAGGAUUUUAUAAGUUGGUGGAUUUCGUAAUGUUUAAUGGAGUCUUGAAGAGUUGAUUGCGGAAGAUUGAAGAAAAGAUCUAAAUUGAAGGAAAAAAGACUUACUCGUAAAGUUCGGCACCUAAGGUAUGAGGAAAAGAUCAUUUGUGGUGAAGAUAUUUGAUUAGAAUAAGUUCAGAAGGUUUAGAUUGUUAUAAAAAUAUUUUACUGAACUUUUCUGUGUUCAGGGACCGGUCCCUGAGGUCAA
rnacentral:lncRNA from 1 species